GCAAGAAAAAGAGACAAGAAACAAAACCCAGACCAGCAAAUCAGCUAAGGAUGAAGAUAAACAAGU